rnacentral:rRNA from 1 species
UACGAAGGGUGCAAGCGUUACUCGGAAUUACUGGGCGUAAAGCGUGCGUAGGCGGUUUGUUAAGUCUGUCGUGAAAGCCCUGGGCUCAACCUGGGAAUUGCGAUGGAUACUGGCAAGCUAGAGUACGGUAGAGGAUGGUGGAAUUCCCGGUGUAGCGGUGAAAUGCGCAGAUAUCGGGAGGAACACCGGUGGCGAAGGCGGUUCUCUGGGCCUGUACUGACGCUGAGGAGCGAAAGCGUGGGAGCGAACAGG